rnacentral:rRNA from 1 species
CAGCAGCCGCGGUAAUACGUAGGGUGCAAGCGUUAAUCGGAAUUACUGGUCGUAAAGCGUGCGCAGGCGGUUUUGUAAGUCUGAUGUGAAAUCCCCGGGCUCAACCUGGGAACUGCAUUGGAGACUGCAAGGCUAGAGUGUGUCAGAGGGGGGUAGAAUUCCACGUGUAGCAGUGAAAUGCGUAGAGAUGUGGAGGAAUACCGAUGGCGAAGGCAGCCCCCUGGGAUAACACUGACGCUCAUGCACGAAAGCGUGGGGAGCAAACAGGAUUAGAUACCCUGGUAGUCCACGCCCUAAACGAUGUCUACUAGUUGUCGGGACUUAAUUGUCUUGGUAACGCAGCUAACGCGUGAAGUAGACCGCCUGGGGAGUACGGUCGCAAGAUUAAAACUCAAAGAAAUUGACGG